AAGGUGGUGCUGGCCCAGGUGUCAUUGUCUACCCUCGGCCAGGCACAGGACUGGGUGCCUCAGGGGACAUGAAGAAGACUGUCUGGUGCCUGCCUGUCCUCCUUGGAGUCAGUGUCACUGUGUGGACCACAACCUUCCUCCACACACCCACCUUCUCAUGCUCAAGGGAAAUGGAGGACAGCUCAGUAAGACCUGGAGUUCUCAGCUCGGCUCUACCGGCUACAUCAUCCCCUCCUCAUCAGUUCCUGUUCAGUUCAAAUGUCACCUCCUCCGUGAAGCGUUCCGGGGAAGCUCCUCCCCAUCUCUCCCAGCAUCUAGAGUUUGCAUCUCUCCCAAUGGUCUGAGACAGCCUCGUGAGCCGAGCAUCAACACGAUUUCGGCGUCGAUAGGUGACCGUCGCCGAGGCGGGUGUGGGCGCACCCCAGACGCCCCACAACUGACUGCCUCCGGCGGAGGACAAGGUAUACGGCAGCGUUUUCCGCCCGCCCGCCCGCUUGCGGCGCGGCGCGGCGGCCGGAGAAACGCGAGGCCACGUGAACGCGCGCCUGACCCCCGCCGCGCCAGG